UUCAGAUGUUUAGGUUUUAGGUCCCGUUUGGUUAUAUAGCUCUUCAGAUGUUUAGGUUUUAGGUCCCGUUUGGUUAUAUAGCUCUUCAGAUGUUUAGGUUUUAGGUCCUGUUUGGUUAUAUAGCUCUUCAGAUGUUUAGGUUUUAGGUCCCGUUUGGUUAUAUAGCUCUUCAGAUGUUUAGGUUUUAGGUCCCGUUUGGUUAUAUAGCUCUUCAGAUGUUUAGGUUUUAGGUCCCGUUUGGUUAUAUAGCUCUUCAGAUGUUUAGGUUUUAGGUCCCAUUUGGUUAUAUAGCUCUUCAGAUG